UACGUAGGGUGCAAGCGUUAAUCGGAAUUACUGGGCGUAAAGCGUGCGCAGGCGGUUUUGUAAGUCUGUCGUGAAAUCCCCGGGCUCAACCUGGGAAUUGCGAUGGAGACUGCAAGGCUAGAAUCUGGCAGAGGGGGGUAGAAUUCCACGUGUAGCAGUGAAAUGCGUAGAGAUGUGGAGGAAUACCGAUGGCGAAGGCAGCCCCCUGGGAUAACACUGACGCUCAUGCACGAAAGCGUGGGGAGCAA
rnacentral:rRNA from 1 species